rnacentral:tRNA from 1 species
GCGGGCGUAGCUCAAUGGCAGAGCUGCUGCCUUCCAAGCAAACGACGAGGGUUCGAUUCCCUUCGCCCGCUCCA